UACAGAGGUCUCAAGCGUUGUUCGGAUUCAUUGGGCGUGAAGGGUGCGUAGGUGGCGCGCUAAGUCGGGUGUGAAAUUUCGGAGCUUAACUCCGAAACUGCAUUCGAUACUGGCGUGCUUGAGGACUGGAGAGGAGACUGGAAUUCAUGGUGUAGCAGUGAAAUGCGUAGAGAUCAUGAGGAAGACCAGUGGCGAAGGCGGGUCUCUGGACAGUUCCUGACACUGAGGCACGAAGGCCAGGGGAGCAAACGGG
rnacentral:rRNA from 1 species